AUGGACUUGAUGGUCCCCACUCAGCUCAUGGGGCUUCUGCUGCUCUGGCUCCCAGGUGCAAAAUGUGACAUCCAGAUGACACAGCCACCCUCCUUGUCUGCAUCUCUAGGAGACAGAGUCACCAUUACCUGCAGGGCCAGUCAGGACAUUAGCAAGAACUUACACUGGUACCAGCAGAAACCAGGUCAAAGUCCCAAACCCCUGAUCUACUAUACAUCCAGGUUACAAUCUGGGGUCCCAUCGAGGUUCAGUGGCAGUGGAUCUGGGGCAGAGUAUUCUCUCACCAUCAGCAGUUUGGAGACUGACGAUGCUGCCACAUAUCACUGUCAACAUGGUUAUGGGUUUCCUAACCACAGUGAUACAUGUCAUAACAUAAACCAGGAAACUAUGAGUGUGAGGCUGGGCUGCCCUAGUUUCUUUUCCUGGUCACUUGUCUGUUGA